GCAAACUUGGUCAUUUAGAGGAAGUAAAAGUCGUAACAAGGUUUCCGUAGGUGAACCUGCGGAAGGAUCAUUACCAAACACCAAACACCAAACAUUCAAUGAAAUUUGGCGACCGAGACGAAGCGCGGCAGCGCUUGGCCCAGCUCUGGCUCUGCCAGCCUGCCAGCCGCACGUAUCACGUAUCACGUAUCAUUCUGGUGCUAUGCAAGUAGCACAAUCAUUUAUAUCUAUUCAACAACCAAUCUAAACUUAAAACUUUUGGCAACGGAUCUCUAGGCUCCCACAUCGAUGAAGAACGCAGC
rnacentral:misc_RNA from 1 species